CACACCUACGGGGCGCAGCAGUAGGGAAUCUUCCACAAUGGGCGAAAGCCUGAUGGAGCAACGCCGCGUGGGUGAAGAAGGUCUUCGGAUCGUAAAACCCUGUUGUUAGAGAAGAAAGUGCGUGAGAGUAACUGUUCACGUUUCGACGGUAUCUAACCAGAAAGCCACGGCUAACUACGUGCCAGCAGCCGCGGUAAUACGGAGGGGGCAAGCGUUAUCCGGAUUUAUUGGGCGUAAAGGGAACGCAGGCGGUCUUUUAAGUCUGCUGUGAAAGCCUUCGGCUUUACCGGAGGUGGU
rnacentral:rRNA from 1 species